UUUUGUCAAAUGGGGAUUCAAAAUCAUGAAAUAAUUAAAUCGGGCCCAAACAACAAAUAAUGCAAUGCAUGAGUGUAAGUGCAAGAGAACCGGCUCAUUGUAAGAAAGCCCAAGAGUAAGCUAUGUGAGGUUGAUGGCGAUGCUUAAAAGCAAUCGACUUACAAGGGUAUGAAAAUGGGCUCGAUAUUGAAUCGAGAAAAGUGUGAUUUUAAUAGUUUAAAGCGGCUUAAGGGUAACUGAAAUGCAGACGAGUAAAUGCGAGCACGCAAAAAGAAAAUAGCUCAUUGUAAGAAAGCCCAAGAGUAAGCCACGGGACCGAAAGUCAACCGAAAUCGAGAGUAAACCGAAUUUAGCUCUAAGCUAACUUAGAGUGGAUUCAUGUAAGGAUCACUCUAAGAAGUUGAGCUAAC
rnacentral:lncRNA from 1 species